rnacentral:rRNA from 1 species
CCUACGGGAGGCAGCAGUGGGGAAUAUUGGGCAAUGGGCGCAAGCCUGACCCAGCAACGCCGCGUGAAGGAAGAAGGCUUUCGGGUUGUAAACUUCUUUUAAGAGGGAAGAGCAGAAGACGGUACCUCUUGAAUAAGCCACGGCUAACUACGUGCCAGCAGCCGCGGUAAUACGUAGGUGGCAAGCGUUGUCCGGAUUUACUGGGGGUAAAGGGCGUGCAGCCGGGAAGACAAGUCAGAUGUGAAAUCCCGCGGCUCAACCGCGGAACUGCAUUUGAAACUGUUUUUCUUGAGUACCGGAGAGGUCAUCGGAAUUCCUGGGGUAGCGGUGAAAUGCGUAGAUAUAAGGAAGAACACCAGUGGCGAAGGCGGAUGACUGGACGGCAACUGACGGUGAGGCGCGAAAGCGUGGGAGCAAACAGGAUUAGAUACCCCGGUAGUC